rnacentral:lncRNA from 1 species
GUGGCAAUCAUUACUGAUCAUUCCAAUGUAAUGGUAAAAUCAAUUACCCAUAAUGCUGUUGUACUUCCAGGUGUGAUGAACAGAUGGUCUGGUGCAAGAGACACCUAGGCAUGUCAAAUCAUAAUAAACACAUACAAAUCCUGUAAAACUAUCUAUUUUAUGUUGCACUUUUAUCACAACAAGAUGUUUAUAAAGUGUUGAUAAAGAUCUCAUG